AUUGAACGCUGGCGGCAUGCCUUACACAUGCAAGUCGAACGGCAGCGCGGACUUUGGUCUGGCGGCGAGUGGCGAACGGGUGAGUAAUACAUCGGAACGUACCCUGUUGUGGGGGAUAACUAGUCGAAAGAUUAGCUAAUACCGCAUACGACCUGAGGGUGAAGGUGGGGGACCGCAAGGCCUCACGCAGCAGGUGCCGCCGAUGUCUGAUUAGCUAGUUGGUGGGGUAAAGGCCCACCAAGGCGACGAACAGUAGCUGGUCUGAGAGGACGAUCAGCCACACUGGGACUGAGACACGGCCCAGACUCCUACGGGAGGCAGCAGUGGGGAAUUUUGGACAAUGGGGGCAACCCUGAUCCAGCAAUGCCGCGUGUGUGAAGAAGGCCUUCGGGUUGUAAAGCACUUUUGUCCGGAAAGAAAUCGCGCUGGUUAAUACCUGGCGUGGAUGACGGUACCGGAAGAAUAAGCACCGGCUAACUACGUG
rnacentral:rRNA from 1 species